UUAACACAUGCAAGUCGAGCGCCCCGCAAGGGGAGCGGCAGACGGGUGAGUAACGCGUGGGAACGUACCUUUUGCUACGGAAUAACUCAGGGAAACUUGUGCUAAUACCGUAUGUGCCCUUCGGGGGAAAGAUUUAUCGGCAAAGGAUCGGCCCGCGUUGGAUUAGCUAGUUGGUGAGGUAAAGGCUCACCAAGGCGACGAUCCAUAGCUGGUCUGAGAGGAUGAUCAGCCACACUGGGACAAUGGGCGCAAGCCUGAUCCAGCCAUGCCGCGUGAGUGAUGAAGGCCCUAGGGUUGUAAAGCUCUUUCACACGGUGAAGAUAAUGACGGUAACCGGAGAAGAAGCCCCGGCUAACUUCGUGCCAGCAGCCGCGGUAAUACGAAGGGGGCUAGCGUUGUUCGGAUUUACUGGGCGUAAAGCGCACGUAGGCGGACUUUUAAGUCAGGGGUGAAAUCCCGGGGCUCAACCCCGGAACUGCCUUUGAUACUGGAAGUCUUGA
rnacentral:rRNA from 1 species